UGUCUCCUUGGACCUGGUGGGUCGAGCUUUUUCCUUGGGUGGCCGUACCCACUGGGAACUAUGGACAAUAGUUCUCACCCUCGUAUUGUUUUUGGGGGUACAGGUUCACACGUGAGUGGCGCGGCGGCGCGAGGCGAGGGCGUAGCUUCAUAGUUAGCGCCCUACCACCGAGACCAGAGAUAGCGGUACCCUAAGUCGGCUACUUAGGGAUGUCAAAGAAAAGAAAAAGAAUCAAGUUGUAAUGAAAUAACAAGAAUUGGAUUGUGUUUGGAAGUAAGAAUCAAAGAAUCAAAAAGGAAAUGUAAUAUGUAAAAUAUAAUAUGUGAGUUGAAUGUUUGUAAUAAUUUAGCAUUUAUGUUUUUGAUACCUUCCUUAUGCAAUCCUUGUUGUAU
rnacentral:lncRNA from 1 species